CCUACGGGAGGCAGCAGUGAGGAAUAUUGGGCAAUGGGCGAAAGCCUGACCCAGCAACGCCGCGUGAGGGAUGAAGGCCUUCGGGUUGUAAACCUCUUUUCUGGGAGAAGAGACAAGGACGGUAUCCCAGGAAUAAGUCUCGGCUAACUACGUGCCAGCAGCCGCGGUAAUACGUAGGAGGCUAGCGUUAUCCGGAUUCACUGGGCGUAAAGCGCACGCAGGCGGUCAUGUAAGUCAGACGUGAAAGCUCCUGGCUCAACUGGGAGAGGUCGUUUGAUACUGCAUGGCUUGAGGUUGGGAGAGGGAAGCGGAAUUCCCGGUGUAGUGGUGGAAUGCGUAGAUAUCGGGAGGAACACCAGUGGCGAAGGCGGCUUCCUGGCCUGCUCCUGACGCUAAGAGGCGAAAGCUAGGGGAGCGAACGGGAUUAGAAACCCCGGUAGUCCUAGCUGUAAACGAUGCUGACUAGGUGUCGGCGAUUAAAAACCGUCGGUGCCGUAGCUAACGCGUUAAGUCAGCCGCCUGGGGACUACGGCCGCAAGGCUAAAACUUAAAGGAAUUGACGG
rnacentral:rRNA from 1 species